rnacentral:rRNA from 1 species
GACGAACGCUGGCGGCGUGCUUAACACAUGCAAGUCGAACGGAAAGGCCCUGCUUUUGUGGGGUGCUCGAGUGGCGAACGGGUGAGUAACACGUGAGUAACCUGCCCUUGACUUUGGGAUAACUUCAGGAAACUGGGGCUAAUACCGGAUAGGAGCUCCUGCUGCAUGGUGGGGGUUGGAAAGUUUCGGCGGUUGGGGAUGGACUCGCGGCUUAUCAGCUUGUUGGUGGGGUAGUGGCUUACCAAGGCUUUGACGGGUAGCCGGCCUGAGAGGGUGACCGGCCACAUGGGGACUGGGGAACGGCCCAGACCCCUACGGGGGGCAGCAGGGGGGAAUAUUGCCCAAGGGGGGGAAGCCUGGUGCAACAACGCCGGGUGGGGGAAGACGGCCUUCGGGUUGGAAACCGCUUUCGCCUGGGACGAAGGGUUGGGGGCUGUAAUGGGUAAAAAAGCACCGGCUAACUGCGU